GUUGGAUCCCUGCCUCGUGCGGCGACGUCCAAUCUUGCUAUCCUCUUCAUUGUUGGCACAAUUUUCUUUGUCCGUCUUUUGGUUUCCUGUGUUGUGUACCUACUCGAUGGAAUUCGGCUGUCAAUCUCUCGAUGUUCGCCUAAGGCUGUCUCGUUGCGGUCGCGGGUGAAACUCAAAACGAUAUUCGUGUCCCCCGUGCUGUACGCUUUGCGUCGGUUCCGUGGUACAUGAAUUCUCGUUUGGACGCUGGGAUGCAGAAAACAAUUAGGGCAUGGAGUCACCGGCUCCUAUCUGUCUGCAAAGGCUUGAAGGCCCGUUUCGAACGACUUUCGG
rnacentral:misc_RNA from 1 species